rnacentral:rRNA from 1 species
ACAGGCUUAACACAUGCAAGUCGAGGGGCAGCAUUUUAGUUUGCUUGCAAACUGAAGAUGGCGACCGGCGCACGGGUGAGUAACACGUAUCCAACCUGCCGAUAACUCCGGGAUAGCCUUUCGAAAGAAAGAUUAAUACCGGAUAGUAUACGAAUAUCGCAUGAUAUUUUUAUUAAAGAAUUUCGGUUAUCGAUGGGGAUGCGUUCCAUUAGUUUGGUGGCGGGGUAACGGCCCACCAAGACUACGAUGGAUAGGGGUUCUGAGAGGAAGGUCCCCCACAUUGGAACUGAGACACGGUCCAAACUCCUACGGGAGGCAGCAGUGAGGAAUAUUGGUCAAUGGGCGCGAGCCUGAACCAGCCAAGUAGCGUGAAGGAUGAAGGCUCUAUGGGUCGUAAACUUCUUUUAUAUGGGAAUAAAGUUUUCCACGUGUGGAAUUUUGUAUGUACCAUAUGAAUAAGGAUCGGCUAACUCCGUGCCAGCAGCCGCGGUAAUACGGAGGAUCCGAGCGUUAUCCGGAUUUAUUGGGUUUAAAGGGAGCGUAGGUGGAUUGUUAAGUCAGUUGUGAAAGUUUGCGGCUCAACCGUAAAAUUGCAGUUGAAACUGGCAGUCUUGAGUACAGUAGAGGUGGGCGGAAUUCGUGGUGUAGCGGUGAAAUGCUUAGAUAUCACGAAGAACUCCGAUUGCGAAGGCAGCUCACUAGACUGUCACUGACACUGAUGCUCGAAAGUGUGGGUAUCAAACAGGAUUAGAUACCCUGGUAGUCCACACAGUAAACGAUGAAUACUCGCUGUUUGCGAUAUACAGUAAGCGGCCAAGCGAAAGCAUUAAGUAUUCCACCUGGGGAGUACGCCGGCAACGGUGAAACUCAAAGGAAUUGACGGGGGCCCGCACAAGCGGAGGAACAUGUGGUUUAAUUCGAUGAUACGCGAGGAACCUUACCCGGGCUUAAAUUGCAACAGAAUAUAUUGGAAACAGUAUAGCCGUAAGGCUGUUGUGAAGGUGCUGCAUGGUUGUCGUCAGCUCGUGCCGUGAGGUGUCGGCUUAAGUGCCAUAACGAGCGCAACCCUUAUCUUUAGUUACUAACAGGUCAUGCUGAGGACUCUAGAGAGACUGCCGUCGUAAGAUGUGAGGAAGGUGGGGAUGACGUCAAAUCAGCACGGCCCUUACGUCCGGGGCUACACACGUGUUACAAUGGGGGGUACAGAAGGCGGCUACCUGGUGACAGGAUGCUAAUCCCAAAAACCUCUCUCAGUUCGGAUCGAAGUCUGCAACCCGACUUCGUGAAGCUGGAUUCGCUAGUAAUCGCGCAUCAGCCAUGGCGCGGUGAAUACGUUCCCGGGCCUUGCAAUGACCCCCCGUC